rnacentral:rRNA from 1 species
CCUACGGGAGGCAGCAGUGAGGAAUAUUGGUCAAUGGUCGCAAGUCUGAACCAGCCAUGCCGCGUGCGGGAAGACGGCUCUAUGAGUUGUAAACUGCUUUUGUACGAGGGUAAAGGCAGGUACGCGUAUCUGUCUGAAAGUAUCGUACGAAUAAGGAUCGGCUAACUCCGUGCCAGCAGCCGCGGUAAUACGGAGGAUUCAAGCGUUAUCCGGAUUUAUUGGGUUUAAAGGGUGCGUAGGCGGUCGGGUAAGUUAGAGGUGAAAUCCCGGGGCUCAACUUCGGCAUCGCCUUUGAUACUGUCCGGCUAGAGUGUGGUUGAGGUAGGCGGAAUGUAUGGUGUAGCGGUGAAAUGCGUAGAGAUCAUGCAGAACACCGAUUGCGAAGGCAGCUUACCAAGCUACUACUGACGUUGAGGCACGAAAGCGUGGGGAGCAAACAGGAUUAGAUACCCGGGUAGUC